GAGCCAACACGAUCAAGACAUCAAGUAUGAAGGAAAAGCUUGUCAAACCACUUUAGUUUUGAUCCAAGCUAAGUGAUUCAACAAUGGGAAAAGUGUCAUGGUUGUACUCUUUUUCCCUUGUCAAGUUUUGUCCCACUUGGUUUUCUUGACAAGGUUUUUAAUAAGGCAGCUGUUUCAGUUCACCAUUGCCCAUUUGUUGAAUCAAAAGCCCAAGGCCUUUUAUGAACUUAAGAAGCCACG
rnacentral:lncRNA from 1 species